CGGACGGGUGAGUAAUGCCUAGGAAUCUGCCUGGUAGUGGGGGACAACGUUUCGAAAGGAACGCUAAUACCGCAUACGUCCUACGGGAGAAAGCAGGGGACCUUCGGGCCUUGCGCUAUCAGAUGAGCCUAGGUCGGAUUAGCUAGUUGGUGAGGUAAUGGCUCACCAAGGCGACGAUCCGUAACUGGUCUGAGAGGAUGAUCAGUCACACUGGUAACUGAGACACGGUCCAGACUCCUACGGGAGGCAGCAGCU
rnacentral:rRNA from 1 species